rnacentral:rRNA from 1 species
UCGGGCGUGCAGGCGAUACGGGCAUAACUAGAGUGCUGUAGGGGAGACUGGAAUUCCUGGUGUAGCGGUGAAAUGCGCAGAUAUCAGGAGGAACACCGAUGGCGAAGGCAGGUCUCUGGGCAGUUACUGACGCUGAGGAGCGAAAGCAUGGGUAGCGAACAGGAUUAGAUACCCUGGUAGUCCAUGCCGUAAACGGUGGGCGCUAGGUGUGGGGGUUUUAUUUACGAUUCCCGUGCCGUAGCUAACGCAUUAAGCGCCCCGCCUGGGGAGUACGGCCGCAAGGCUAAAACUCAAAGGAAUUGACGGGGGCCCGCACAAGCGGCGGAGCAUGUGGAUUAAUUCGAUGCAACGCGAAGAACCUUACCUGGGCUUGACAUACACUGGAUCGCUGCAGAGAUGUAGCUUCCCUUUGUGGCUGGUGUACAGGUGGUGCAUGGUUGUCGUCAGCUCGUGUCGUGAGAUGUUGGGUUAAGUCCCGCAACGAGCGCAACCCUUGUCUUGUGUUGCCAGCACGUUAUGGUGGGGACUCGCGAGAGACUGCCGGGGUUAACUCGGAGGAAGGUGGGGAUGACGUCAAAUCAUCAUGCCCCUUAUGUCCAGGGCUUCACACAUGCUACAAUGGUCGGUACAGUGGGCUGCGAUACCGUGAGGUGGAGCUAAUCCCUUAAAGCCGGUCUCAGUUCGGAUUGGAGUCUGCAACUCGACUCCAUGAAGUCG